rnacentral:lncRNA from 1 species
AUGAAAGUUGCCAAAGUUGUGCCACUGUUUAAGAAUGGUGACACACACGAGUUUACUAAUUACAGACCAAUCUCAAUACUGCCACAACUGUCGAAAAUCCUAGAGAAGCUAUUCAACAAUAGGCUAGAUAACUUCAUCAACAAACACAAAUUGCUAUAUGACAGCCAAUAUGGAUUCAGAAGGAACCACUCGACUGCCUUUGCUCUAACUGAGUCUGUGGAAAUCAUUACUGACGCUAUUGACCAAAAACAACAUUCAAUAGGAAUUUUCAUAGACCUGAAAAAAGUUAAUCAUGAUAUUUUAAUAGCUAUACUGGAGAGAUAUGGCAUCAGAGGUGUAGCACUGCAGUGGGUCAAGAGCUAUCUACACAAGAGAUCCCAAUAUGUCAAAAUGGGUGAUAACACAUCGACUAGCUUGGACAUAGUCUGUGGGGUCCCACAGGGGUCAGUUCUGGGUCCAAAGCUGUUUAUACUAUAUAUAAAUGAUAUAUGCAAAGUGUCAAAUAUUCUGAAAUUAAUAUUAUUCGCAGAUGAUACAAAUAUUUUCUGUUCUGGGACUGACUUGAACCAACUUGUGGAAACAGUAAAUCACGAAAUGGCCAAACUUCAUGUGUGGUUUAAUAUAAAUAAAUUAUCACUAAAUCUUGAGAAAACUAAAUACAUGCUAUAUGGGAAAAAAGGCUGCAACAACAGUACUAACAUUCAAGUAAACGGAGUGAAUAUUGAAAGGGUACAUGAGAACAAAGUACUGGGAGUAAUCAUCGACGACAUGUUAAGUUGGAAGCCACACAUAAGACAGCUAAAAAGGAAGUUGGCCAGGAGUGUGUCCAUACUCUGGAAAGCACAAAAGAUAUUAAAUCAAAAAGCACUUCAUCUGUUGUACUGUGCACUCGUCUCUCCACACCUGCAAUACUGUGCAGAGGUGUGGGGACACACAUAUAAAGGCUCCACACAGCCUUUGUUAAUACUCCAAAAAAGAGCUUUGAGAAUCUUACAUUAUGCCAACUAUAGGGCACACACAAAUCAGUUAUUUAUUGAAUCAAGAAUACUUAAACUAUAUGACUUAAUAAACUAUCGCACACUACAAAUGAUGUACAAGGCUGCUAACAAAAGCCUCCCUCAUAAUUUGCAAAUACUCUUCCUAGACAGAGAGGAGAGACACAAUCUCAGAUGGAACAUGAUUUUCAGGCAAAGUAAAGUACGAACUACGUUAAAAUCCUUUUCUUUAUCGGUCAAAGGUGUUAAACAAUGGAAUGUGCUAGAAGAAGAUGUCAAAAAAUCAGCAACACUAAGUGGCUUCAAGAAAAAGUAUGUACAUUCAAUCGUUGAUCAGUACAGAUCAAUACAGGAGGGUUGA